GCAGCAGCACAGCACUACUAUACAGCAAGCGACUGAUUACUUUCCAGUUGCGUCAUAUUUUGAAAGCACGGUGUGAUCCUGUCCCUGCUGCUAAUGGAGCAAUACGUUUCCAUUGUGAUCCCACCUUCUGGGCAAAGAAUGUAGUCAAUUUAGAUUAACUUAGCACAGCUUCGACUCCAGCACAUGCAACAACAAGUAUAUGCACAGAAACAUCAGCAGUUGCAACAGAUGAGGAUGCAGCAACCACCAGCACCUGUACCAACUACAACAACAACAACACAACAGCAUCCUAGACAAGCAGCCCCUCAGAUGUUACAACAACAGCCUCCUCGAUUGAUCAGUGUGCAAACAAUGCAAAGAGGCAACAUGAACUGUGGAGCUUUUCAAGCCCAUCAGAUGAGACUGGCUCAGAAUGCUGCCAGAAUACCAGGGAUACCCAGGCACAGCGGCCCUCAAUAUUCCAUGAUGCAGCCACACCUCCAAAGACAACACUCAAACCCAGGGCAUGCUGGACCCUUUCCCGUAGUAUCGGUACACAACACCACAAUCAACCCAACGAGCCCUACUACAGCAACUAUGGCAAAUGCAAACCGAGGUCCCACCAGCCCAUCUGUUACAGCAAUAGAGCUAAUCCCCUCAGUUACCAAUCCAGAAAACCUUCCAUCGCUGCCAGAUAUUCCACCCAUACAGUUGGAAGAUGCUGGCUCAAGUAGUUUAGAUAAUCUACUAAGUAGAUACAUCUCAGGCAGUCACCUACCCCCACAGCCUACAAGCACCAUGAAUCCUUCUCCAGGUCCCUCUGCCCUUUCUCCGGGAUCAUCAGGUUUAUCCAAUUCUCACACACCUGUGAGACCCCCAAGUACUUCUAGUACUGGCAGUCGAGGCAGCUGUGGGUCAUCAGGAAGAACUGCUGAGAAGACAAGUCUUAGUUUCAAAUCUGAUCAGGUGAAGGUCAAGCAAGAACCUGGGACUGAAGAUGAAAUAUGUAGCUUUUCAGGAGGUGUAAAACAAGAAAAAACAGAGGAUGGCAGGAGGAGUGCUUGCAUGUUGAGCAGUCCUGAGAGUAGCUUGACACCACCUCUCUCAACCAACCUGCAUCUAGAAAGUGAAUUGGAUGCAUUGGCAAGCCUGGAAAACCAUGUGAAAAUUGAACCUGCAGAUAUGAAUGAAAGCUGCAAACAGUCAGGGCUCAGCAGCCUUGUUAAUGGAAAGUCCCCAAUUCGAAGCCUCAUGCACAGGUCGGCAAGGAUUGGAGGAGAUGGCAACAAUAAAGAUGAUGACCCAAAUGAAGACUGGUGUGCUGUCUGCCAAAACGGAGGAGAUCUCUUGUGCUGCGAAAAAUGUCCAAAGGUCUUUCAUCUAACUUGUCAUGUUCCAACACUACUUAGCUUUCCAAGUGGGGACUGGAUAUGCACAUUUUGUAGAGAUAUUGGAAAGCCAGAAGUUGAAUAUGAUUGUGAUAAUUUGCAACAUAGUAAGAAGGGGAAAACUGCGCAGGGGUUAAGCCCCGUGGACCAAAGGAAAUGUGAACGUCUUCUGCUUUACCUCUAUUGCCAUGAAUUAAGUAUUGAAUUCCAGGAGCCUGUUCCUGCUUCGAUACCAAACUACUAUAAAAUUAUAAAGAAACCAAUGGAUUUAUCCACCGUG
rnacentral:lncRNA from 1 species